GAAUUCAUAUGGAGGAGUCGUGGGAGCUUAAGGCCUUGUUUAAAAGGGAAAAAACAACUGAGUCUUUUUAGAUUAAUCAAAAACUAUACUCUUCCUUUGGAGAGGAGAGAGUGUUUGUCAUACGAGGGAUGAAGUACCAUGUUCUUAGAGGCACGAUUUGUAUGCCAUGGGGAGGAGGGAGUCAGUUCAAGAGAAUGGAUUCCCUGACAAGCUACGUUUGCCAGAAUAUUCCAAGACAUGUUUUAGAAGCUACCUAUGGCAUUAACAUCGUAAAGCCUAGAGAGGAUGAAGAUCCCCACCGACCUCCAACAUCGGAGGAACUGUUGACAGCUUAUGGAUAUAUGCGAGGAUUCAUGACAGCGCAUGGACAGCCAGACCAGCCUCGAUCUGCGCGCUACAUCCUGAAGGACUAUGUCAAUGGUAAGCUGCUGUACUGCCAUCCUCCUCCUGGAAGAGAUCCUGUAACUUUUCAGCAUCAACACCAGCGACUCCUAGAGAACAAAACGAACGGUGAUGAAAUAAAAAUGCAGCCAGGCAGAAAUAAAAAAGCAAAGCAGAUUGAAAAUAUCGUUGACAAAACUUUUUUCCAUCAAGAGAAUGUGAGGGCUUUGACCAAAGGAGUCCAGGCUGUGAUGGGUUACAAGCCCGGGAGUGGUGUAGUGACUGCA
rnacentral:sRNA from 1 species